rnacentral:pre_miRNA from 3 species
CCAUGGUCCUCUGUGGGCAUCUUACUAGACAGUGCUGGAUUUUUUGGAUCUACUCUAACACUGUCUGGUAACGAUGUUUAAAGGGUGAACCAAAC